UGGGGAAUCUUGCGCAAUGCGCGAAAGCGUGACGCAGCAACGCCGCGUGGGGGAAGAAGGCCUUCGGGUUGUAAACCCCUUUCAGGAGGGACGAAGCCUGUCUGGUGAAUAGCCAGUUCAGGUGACGGUACCUCCACAAGAAGCCCCGGCUAACUACGUGCCAGCAGCCGCGGUAAUACGUAGGGGGCAAGCGUUGUCCGGAAUCAUUGGGCGUAAAGAGCGCGUAGGCGGCCCAGCAAGUCCGCUCUGAAAGUCAGGGGCUCAACCCCUGAAUGCGGGUGGAUACUACUGGGCUAGAGUCCGGAAGAGGCGAGUGGAAUUCCUGGUGUAGCGGUGAAAUGCGCAGAUAUCAGGAGGAACACCGAUGGCGAAGGCAGCUCGCUGGGACGGUACUGACGCUGAGGCGCGAAAGCGUGGGGAGCAAACAG
rnacentral:rRNA from 1 species